GUUUCUGAAGGUGCAUUAACUGAAACAAGAGAACAAUAUAUAAUGAUAUAGAUUCACCUUGGCAUAGCUGACAGAAUAUUUCAUUCAGCCUUUUAGCAGGGAUCUGAGCUGAAUUUCAUACAGGAAGUAAGAUCUGGCAUUGCCCAUUUUAGAAAAAGAGAUUGCAAUUACCAAGCACUGAGAUGAGAGUAUAGGGAAAGGAAAUGAAGGGAACUGAAAAGCAGAAGAGUACUAAGGAAGUAGCAGGGCAAUUUGAUUGGCUGUGAAAUGCAGUUUCUGAGCUCUUGAAGGAACCCAAGUGGAAAGUGGGAGUCGUAAGAAAGCACAAGUGGGAUUCUGCCUGGUUGAUGUUGUCAUCAUUCCUGCCUCCUGGGGCCAUGCUGCCUUGGCAGUGCUUUGCAUCACCAGCAAACAGCAUGGAAGACCAUGCAAUGAUUCCCAUGAAGGGAAGUGUGUAAGGCAGUUGCCUCAGAUGUAUUUGAGUGUAUAAUCCUCAAGGAAGAACAAAGCCUCUUAAUGAAUUUGGAGGGAGGGGGAAGGGAAAGAACAAAACUGUAAGCAUUGAAGAAUGCUGAUUAUUUCAGCUAAGUCUCACAGUAGUUUUAAGGUUACCCCAAAGCACUGCAAGAGCUGCAGUCUGUAUGCUUGCACCCCAGAAGUACAAACAGUGUAUCAGCAGUCUUCAGAGAGGACUGAACAGAAGGGCAGGAAAGGGAAGGAAAAAAAAGCAAAGUUGUAUUUUGGGAGGGUUCCUGCAAAUGAAGCUUACGACGACGUGUUUUCAGGCCAUAGACACUGGAGAGAGGCCAAGCAGGAACAAUUAUGACCUAUUUUGUACUUUUCUUAGGACUGUGCUUUGUUUUGGAGGGUUAGCAGUUGCAUACAACCCAUCACUCAAUUCUGAAGAGGAGGGAGAGGGGCAUCACAUGCUCAAGGGAGGUCCUGCUGCUGACAACUGCAUCAUCCUGUGGUGGUCAGGGGUCCUUCAGGGCUGGUGGAGAGAAAAAUCCUGGGCAUUGGCAGGCUUGCAGGGACUCCUGGGAGCUACUUGAAGAGACCUCAGGGUCAAAAAUCUCUCUGCUUCCCAUGACAGCGCAGGACAUGAAACCCCUCUGACCACACUGAAGGAAGGGGGCUCACUCGACCGUGCCGGGAACACACACGCUCUCUUACAGUACCUCUUGGCAAGCAGGAGAUGAGCAGGAGCUGCAGAAGGGCAGCGACCCUGGAAUAUGAGUCGGAUCAUACGUUGUUAAAUAUUGUCCUUCAGAAGUUAACCUGUGCAUAAUUCUGAAGCACAAAUCCCAUCCACUGCCCUUGCAUAAUUCUCAGGGGAAAAUUUGAUUUGCAUCUGUGAAAUCACCAACUGUGGCACUUUUCAAGAAUGCAGCCUCAGCAACUAUAGGAUAUGUUUGUACCACAAAAUCCUCCUCUGUGUAUUGAGUACCACAGAAAAAUACAUCUUGACACAAUUCUGCUACUUACAUAGCUAUAUAAACUGGGGAACUUUAGACAACUUAUAAGCUGUUACUCAAGUAAAAAUGCCCUGUAUACAAAAAGUGUGAACUAAAGUGUUUAUUCAAGUUAAUAGAAGAUCUUGUGUAGCUCAUAAGAUGUUUGUUUAAGCAAUUGUUUAAGAUAACCAUGAAGAUACUACACAGUGCUGAUCACAAUGGCAUUUCAGGCCCUGACCUAGUAAAGAAUUUAAGCAUGUGCCUAACUUUGGUUGCAUCAGUAAUGUCAUUGAAUUCAGUGGGUCUUAAUGACUCAUUAAAGUUUUUGAAGCCUAAAAGUGCCAGUGGAUAGCCAUAUCUGAAACUGGGAGAAGUGACAAUGCCAAGGGUGAUGUGGAAAGUUUCUGCCCAAGUCCUGGGGUGGCUGAGCUUCCCUCACCUGCAGAGAUAAGAGGCAUCACUAUCAGUACUGCAGGUGCUGCCCUUGGCCCUCAUGUUGCAGUGUGCUGCCUGCUUUGUACAAGAAAUAAAAAGAAAUAGAUUCCAUCAGAGCUGAUUUCUCUCUGGGAUUACCACCAGACUAGCACCAGAACACUGCUUCAGAGACACUGGAAGAGUGACAGGAAUUCUAAUUUCUAAAUCCUUCAGCAUACAUUGUUAAUAAGUGUAUCAGAGUUUUAGCAAGUAUUUAUGUAGAAAACUCCAGGAUUAGAAAUCAACACUGCUGGUUCACUUUAAAGAUUAAAAAAACUCAGUUGAAACAAAAGUUAAAGAUUUUUCCACAGUAUGAUUGCUCCCUUGGCUUUUAGCAUUCAGUGGUGUGCGAGUUGACAGAGAGGGUAUUGAUUUUUACUACUUUGAACAUUUCUUCCUAGAAUGGGAGCAAUAAAAAGGACUAGAAAAGAAAUAACAGCAAUUCUUGUUUUCUCCAGCAGGGCUUUGAUCUUACAAGUUUGAGCAGUAAAAUAAAGGAAUAGUCUCUUC